UACGGAGGGUGCAAGCGUUAAUCGGAAUUACUGGGCGUAAAGCGCACGUAGGCUGCUUUGUAAGUCAGGGGUGAAAUCCCACGGCUCAACCGUGGAACUGCCUUUGAUACUGCUUAGCUUGAAUCCGGGAGAGGGUGGCGGAAUUCCAGGUGUAGGAGUGAAAUCCGUAGAUAUCUGGAGGAACAUCAGUGGCGAAGGCGGCCACCUGGACCGGUAUUGACGCUGAGGUGCGAAAGCGUGGGGAGCAAACAGG
rnacentral:rRNA from 1 species